GUUUCUAGACGAAGGUCAUAUACCAGUUAAAUUCCGCCAUUUUGCCUCUCAGUGUUCAUGCUUGAGCCUAUGCGUCCAACUCCUGAGAUCUUAUUGGGAAGCUGCUGAUCAUCAGUUUCAGAUAAGAGAGGGUUGAAGAUCCGAGAGGCUGAGUUACUUCCACAAAGUAACACGGCUGAUUUUAAAUGCCUGCAUUCAGCAUCCCUGCAGCAGGCUCCAGGUGGAAUUCUAAUGGGACCAGCCUCCAGUCCCUGGACCUUAGCCGUGGAAGGAGAGAAGAGGACAUCUGCACCUCCUCUCAGAGAAAGCCUGAUGCCUACUAAAGGACUUGGGGGGUGGACGCAGUGACCCUCAGUCUGGAGCUUGUUCACUGAACAUUGGAGACUAUCAUUUGCGCAGGUGGUCUUGGGCCUUUAUGAGCAGUAGGCUGCACCCCACCGUGACCUCCUCAUUCCACUCUGAGGCAUCUUCAUGAAAGCAGAUAUCCUUUGAAAAGCACCCAAGUGCAGUCUCAGCUGAUGAACUUCAGAGACAAUUAAGACAAAGGCUCUCGGUCCCAUCUGCCCUUGGGUGGUGCCUCUGGUAUGCACUUGGCCCGGUGUCUUUAUUUAGACUGAUCACUUCACAACCCAUCAUGUCACCCCACCCCUAACCGUGCUCACUCUGGGUCCUCCCCUCAACUGCCUGACUUCCCACUUUUAGCUCUGCAAAGACA